rnacentral:rRNA from 1 species
GGUUUUACUUUUCUGGACAGAAAGACGAGGUGGUGCAUUGGUUGUCGUCAGCUCGUGUCGUGAGAUGUUGGGUUAAGUCCCGCAACGAGCGCAACCCCUACGGUUAGUUGCUAACGGGUAAGGCCGAGCACUUUUAGCCGAACUGCCGUUGACAAAACGGAGGAAGGCGGGGAUGACGUCAAAUCAUCAUGCCCUUUAUGUCCUGGGCUACACACGUGCUACAAUGGCCUGUACAAAGGGCAGCAAAGGGGCGACCCGGAGCAAAUCCCAAAAAACAGGUCUCAGUUCGGAUUGCAGGCUGCAACUCGCCUGCAUGAAGGCGGAAUCGCUAGUAAUCGCAGGUCAGCAUACUGCGGUCGAAUACGUUCCCGGGCCUU